rnacentral:rRNA from 1 species
UGAGGAAUAUUGGGCAAUGCCCGCAAGGGUGACCCAGCAACGCCGCGUGGAGGAUGAAUGUCGUAAGAUCGUAAACUCCUGUUAGAGGGGAAGAAUAGUACCGGUUGGACCGGUAUAUGACUGUACCCUCAGAGAAAACCCCGGCUAACUACGUGCCAGCAGCCGCGGUAAUACGUAGGGGGCAAGCGUUGUCCGGAUUUACUGGGUGUAAAGGGCGCGCAGGCGGGAUAAAAAGUCAGUGGUGAAAUCCUACAGCUUAACUGUAGAACUGCCUUUGAUACUUUUAUUCUUGAGUUCGGGAGAGAGAGACGGAAUUCCAGGUGUAGUGGUGAAAUACGUAGAUAUCUGGAAGAACACCAGUUGCGAAGGCGGUCUCUUGGUCCGACACUGACGCUGAGGCGCGAAAGCGUGGGGAGCAAACA